GGCCCUGCCAGUGUCUCCGCCGGUUGAAAGCGCGUGUCUGCGUCGGGUUCUGUUGGAGUGCGUUCGGUGCGCCGUGGGUCCGCGCUGCUUCCACCCAACUUCCUGUUAGUUUCUCUCCUGUCACAAUGGCAUGAUCUCGGCUCACUGCGACCUCUGCUUCCUGGGUUCAAGGAUUCUCCUGCCUCAGCCUCCCAAGUAGCUGGGAUUACAGUUUCCAUCAUUAUCUUCUAUGGAGUUCUUCAUUCCCACAUCUGUGGACCUUAAAAUCCUACCGUUGAGUGCCUGCCUUGGAUCAGCAGUCAGUUCGUUACCUUGGUUCUCAGACGAUGCUUGCAACAACGCCAUGCGAUUCGCCCACUCUUGGAGAAAAUAAGAGAAGUAUCCCUGAAGGAUGAAAUAUCCUCGAAUAUGAAAAGGUCUGCUCUCUGAAGACCAACUGUCUCAGUCUGCUUUUUGCUGCUGUAACAGAAUACCACAGACUUGUAGGCAGAGAAGCCUUCAGAGAAGGAUCCUGACUCGGUGGUUUGUGCAGUGACAUUUGGCAGUGUUUUCUCGGCAAGCGAGUCUUUGAGGCUGCCCUCAUGCUGCUCAGUGGGCACACCAAGAACAAGAGCUGGCCAGGGAUGACGGACGCAUCUAGGCCUUCUCGGCCUAAGGGUUACAUUAGUUAUACACUCUGGAGGUGACUUGACCUGUCAUUGUGAACAAUUAUUGCUCUUGGACGACCCAGGACAUAGGCCAGCCAGUACGUACCCCAGUGUGUUGGAGAAUCGCGCUCGGCUUCUUCCUCUGUGCUGAGUCAUGAAAGUUGCCGGAGCAGGUGCAGUUACACAACCUCCAGGUAUGAUCCUGUUUAAGGACUGGAUUUAGGAUAACUACUUAGAGGUUAAAAGUCACAAGGGUGUAUGGAUGAGGCUGGAGUGAUCUGGGACCAAAGACAUCUAGGCUUGCUGUCAAGGCUUCUGAUCAACAUGAGAUGACCGCCGUGUGGUAAACUGAUGAACCCUGACCCUGAUCAACAUGAGAUGACCGCCGUGUGGUAAACUGAUGAACCCCGACCCUGAUGAACGUGAGAUGACCGCCGUGUGGUAAACUGAUGAACCCCGACCCUGAUGAACGUGAGAUGACCGCCGUGUGGUAAACUGAUGAACCCCGACCCUGAUGAACGUGAGAUGACCGCCGUGUGGUAAACUGAUGAACCCCGACCCUGAUGAACGUGAGAUGACCGCCGUGUGGUAAACUGAUGAACCCCGACCCUGAUCAACGUGAGAUGACCGCCGUGUGGUAAACUGAUGAACCCCGACCCUGAUGAACAUGAGAUGACCGCCGUGUGGUAAACUGAUGAACCCCGACCCUGAUCAACAUGAGAUGACCGCCGUGUGGUAAACUGAUGAACCCCGACCCUGAUCAACAUGAGAUGACUGCCGUGUGGUAAACUGAUGAACCCUGACCCAUUAGGCUUUGGCUACAGAAUGUGGAAAUAAGUUGUGUUACUACAUGUGUGUAAUCCUAGGGUGCAGGACACCGGCCGGGAGGUUCCAUAGAGUGAUGGGUUCUGCAGGUAACUCAUCCUCUAGUCCUCUGUAAGCUCCUAGAAGGAAGAAAUUAUGUCCUUUAGACUAAUAAAAUUCCUCCAAACCAAAUACAGCACCUACUGUGAAGACACAAAGAUACUUUUAGAAUAGUAAAAACUUUAUCCAUUGAGAAAUUCCUUAAUGAAACAGUAUCCAAGAAGUCAUUUGCCAGCAGAUUUCUUAGAGGUGCGAUAAAGAAGAGGACAUUGCCAGUCGUCACAGCAGCUGCAAUAGCUCCUCUCUAUUGUUAAACAGUGGGAUAUCUUGUGCAGGUUUUCAGUUGACAAUCAAUUUUAAAGAUUAGUUUCGGUCCCCAUCAAUCAAUUAUUUAUUAACCCAUCAAUAAAAAUUUAAAUGC
rnacentral:lncRNA from 1 species